UACAGGGGGGGCAAGCGUUGUUCGGAAUUACUGGGCGUAAAGGGCUCGUAGGUGGCCAACUAAGUCGGACGUGAAAUCCCUCAGCUUAACUGGGGAACUGCAUCCGAUACUGGAUGGCUUGAGUUUGGGAGAGGGAUGCGGAAUUCCAGGUGUAGCGGUGAAAUGCGUAGAUAUCUGGAGGAACACCGGUGGCGAAGGCGGCAUCCUGGACCAAAACUGACACUGAGGAGCGAAAGCCAGGGGAGCAAACGGG
rnacentral:rRNA from 1 species